GCCCUUGUGGUGUAAUGGUAGCCACGCCAGUUUUAGGAACUGGUGCGUAAUUGCGUGUCGGUUCGAGUCCGACCGAGGGCA
rnacentral:tRNA from 1 species